CAGCAGCCACGGGAAAACAGAUGGUGCGAGCGUUAAUCGGAUUUACUGGGCGUAAAGCGUGCGUAGGCGGCUUCUUAAGUCGGAUGUGAAAUCCCUGAGCUUAACUUAGGAAUUGCAUUCGAUACUGGGAAGCUAGAGUAUGGGAGAGGAUGGUAGAAUUCCAGGUGUAGCGGUGAAAUGCGUAGAGAUCUGGAGGAAUACCGAUGGCGAAGGCAGCCAUCUGGCCUAAUACUGACGCUGAGGUACGAAAGCAUGGGGAGCAAACAGGAUUAGAGACCCGAGUAGUCCCUGUCUCUUAUAA
rnacentral:rRNA from 1 species